rnacentral:rRNA from 1 species
GUAGGUGGCAAGCGUUGUCCGGAAUUAUUGGGCGUAAAGCGCGCGCAGGCGGUCCUUUAAGUCUGAUGUGAAAGCCCACGGCUCAACCGUGGAGGGUCAUUGGAAACUGGGGGACUUGAGUACAGAAGAGGAAAGCGGAAUUCCAAGUGUAGCGGUGAAAUGCGUAGAGAUUUGGAGGAACACCAGUGGCGAAGGCGGCUUUCUGGUCUGUAACUGACGCUGAGGCGCGAAAGCGUGGGGAGCAAACAGGAUUAGAUACCCUGGUAGUCCACGCCGUAAACGAUGAGUGCUAAGUGUUAGGGGGUUUCCCGCCCCCCUUAGUGCUGCAGCUAACGCAUUAAGCACUCCGCCUGGGGAGUACAGCCGCAAGGCUG